rnacentral:lncRNA from 1 species
AUCUGAUAGUAUGGCUUCAUGCUUGGAAACUAAUAGUUGUAUAUAUAAAUGUUUUUUUUCCCUGUAGGUGCUUCAGAUAUUGAAAUAAGAAUUUCCAAAUAAAUUGCAAAGUUAAGUGGUUUGAGUCCUAAAAUGCCUUCAUUGAUGGAAAAUGGUUGUGCUGCUAAACUUGAGUGUAUUGGAGCAUGGACUAAUCCUGCAGAUAGUUUUGAGUCGACUUUGAUAAUGAUGAAUUGAAUAGUAGUGUGCUCUCCAUGUUCUAGAGGAUGGAUAUGCAAUAGCAGCUCAUACAGGCUUGGGGAAGAAGGAAGAACUUUCUUGGGAAGAGCUUGGGGCGAUUAUUCACGAGUUAUAUAUUCGUAUUGUGAAUUUGAUGCCAUUGUAAGACCAGAAGGAUGGAAUGACUGGAGGAAACAACUAAAUGAACUGUUUUUUUUUUUUUUUUAAAGAAAUUUGACAUUUACGGCGUGCGCAGGAUGGAAUGACUGGAGGAAACAACUAAAUGAACAGUUUUUUUUUUUUUAAAAGAAAUUUGACAUUUACAGCGUGCAUGCGCACGCUGUAUGAAGUCGAUAUUCUUGCAUUUACGGCGUGCAAAUGCACGCCAUAAAUAAUCAGUACUGUUAUUUAUGGCAUGCACAUGCACGCCAUAAAUAGUGAAUACUUUUACAAUGUGCAUUUCCACGCCGUAAAUAGUUCUUAAUGGCAUGCAUUUACGACGUGCUUUGCACGCCAUAAAAACCUUUACCUAUUUACGACAUUAAUUUAUACGGCAUGCAGCUGUACGCCGUAAAAGGUCCAUUUUGUUGUAGUGCAUGUAUUAUGAUUUAUAAAAUUUUAGUGAGUGGCGUGUUUGAUGGCUCAUGUAUAGCUCACGGUUGAU